rnacentral:rRNA from 1 species
CCUACGGGAGGCAGCAGUGGGGAAUAUUGCACAAUGGGGGAAACCCUGAUGCAGCGACGCCGCGUGAGUGAAGAAGUACUUCGGUAUGUAAAGCUCUAUCAGCAGGGAAGAAAAUGACGGUACCUGUUUAAGAAGCCCCGGCUAACUACGUGCCAGCAGCCGCGGUAAUACGCAGGGGGCAAGCGUUAUCCGGAUUUACUGGGUGUAAAGGGAGCGUAGACGGCAGCGCAAGUCUGAAGUGAAAUGCCGGGGCUUAACCCCGGAACUGCUUUGGAAACUGUGCAGCUAGAGUGCAGGAGAGGUAAGUGGAAUUCCUAGUGUAGCGGUGAAAUGCGUAGAUAUUAGGAGGAACACCAGUGGCGAAGGCGGCUUACUGGACUGUAACUGACGUUGAGGCUCGAAAGCGUGGGGAGCAAACAGGAUUAGAUACCCUAGUAGUC